rnacentral:rRNA from 1 species
AUUGAACGCUGGCGGCAGGCCUAACACAUGCAAGUCGAGCGGCAGCGGGAAAGUAGCUUGCUACUUUUGCCGGCGAGCGGCGGACGGGUGAGUAAUGCCUGGGAAAUUGCCCAGUCGAGGGGGAUAACAGAUGGAAACGACUGCUAAUACCGCAUACGCCCUACGGGGGAAAGCAGGGGACCUUCGGGCCUUGCGCGAUUGGAUAUGCCCAGGUGGGAUUAGCUAGUUGGUGAGGUAAUGGCUCACCAAGGCGACGAUCCCUAGCUGGUCUGAGAGGAUGAUCAGCCACACUGGAACUGAGACACGGUCCAGACUCCUACGGGAGGCAGCAGUGGGGAAUAUUGCACAAUGGGGGAAACCCUGAUGCAGCCAUGCCGCGUGUGUGAAGAAGGCCUUCGGGUUGUAAAGCACUUUCAGCGAGGAGGAAAGGUCAGUAGCUAAUAUCUGCUGACUGUGACGUUACUCGCAGAAGAAGCACCGGCUAACUCCGUGCCAGCCGCCGCCGUAAGAC